rnacentral:rRNA from 1 species
AACGAACGCUGGCGGCGUGCCUAACACAUGCAAGUCGAACGAAAAGUUCCGGCCUAGGUGGGCAGGGGUGGGGGCGGAGUGGGAAGUAGCCCGUGAGUAAGGUACCACUGACGGAAGGGAAUCUUAAUAACGGUUGAGGUCGUAAGUGAUAAGAGGUAUUGCUCAGGGAUGGGCGCGCGUAGGAUUCGCUGGUUGGUGGGGUAAUGGCAUGCCAUGGCGAGGAUGCUGGGCUGGUAGGAGAGGAUGACCAGCCACACUGGGACUGAGGCACGGCCCAGACUCGUACGGAGGGGAGGAGUGGAGAAUACUAGAGAAGGAGCGAAAGCCUGAUACAGCAAUGCGGGGUGAGUGAUGAAGGCCUUAGGGUUGUAAAGCUCUUUUACCCGAGAUGAUAAUGACGGUACCGGGAGAAUAAGCCCCGGCUAACUACGUG